rnacentral:pre_miRNA from 1 species
AUCAGGUGUCCCCUAGAGUUCCCUUGACCACUUCAUUGGGAGGUGAGAGAUCAAUCGUGGAUAUGGUUUUCGAACAAUUGUCCUCCACUCCUCCUAUGUAUUCCUACUGAAGUGUUUGGGGGAACUCCUGGUGUCAUAUGAU